ACGUCAAAUCAUCAUGCCCUUUAUGUCCUGGGCUACACACGUACUACAAUGGGUGUAACAGAGAGAAGCGAAGCAGUGAUGUGGAGCAAAACUCGAAAAGCAUCCUCAGUUCGGAUUGAAGGCUGAAAUUCGCCUUCAUGAAGUUGGAAUUGCUAGUAAUGGCAGGUCAGCAUACUGCCGUGAAUACGUUCCCGGGCCUU
rnacentral:rRNA from 1 species